AAGGGCGUGUGGAUUGUGUCACCUGAUUAUCAGCCUGUCAGGAGACCGCCGUGUGAGCUGUGGUGGUGUCAUGUGGGAUUCUCACUAUACGUGGACAUCCGUUUGAAAGACAGAGCUUUCUUCCUGCGAAAAGUAUGCAGGAAAAAAUCUUCAGUCGAGUCGUGUUCUAACAACAUUUCACAUCAGCGUUGCCUCUUUCUUUUGGAAUCAACUGGAAUUUAUCCCCGCCUUCAAGAGAACGUGCCUGCCUUCUCCCCGCUGCUGGCUCAGGGCCGUCGGGUGUCCAGCGGGACGGCUGGUGGCCCUGGCUGACCCGCCACGCACGCCCUUCCCCUCCCCGAGCUCGCUGGCAGCCCUCGCCACAACCAACACGCGGUUGAGCGCGGCUCCCCUCUGAGCGGGCCGGCCGGGUCCCUUCCCCUCUCCGCGCCUUUUCUUUAAAACAGGUGGGUCAGGCUAGGUACCCUCGGGAGCCCCACCAUCGCAAUUGUACCUUCUUCUCAUUUCCUGAUUUCUACUAGAGUCAGACCUGUGGAAUGUGAGGGAUUGCUCAGAGGUCUGCAUGUCACAGCGUCGGACUGCCACAGCUCGUGUGACCCAAUUUGGGAAGUGUCGUUUCCCUGUCCCCAUUCCAGCUCUCUGCUUUCUGUGAUGCUCACCCAUGUUUCCUUCACUGGUGGAACUCAUAACCUUUCAGUCCAUGGGGUACUUUACUACACCCCCCCAACCCAAAUCCGCUUGAAAUACCCACCAGGAAAAGCCUCAAGUACCUUCAGCCAAAUCUGUAACAUUGAUAAGACGUUUAAACACUAAGUGCUGACAGUUGACGCUCCCAGAAGGCUGUCUCUCACCGCAGGGGCGUCGCGGUCACUAAAUCACUUCGCCAGGACAGGCCCUCUUGGAGACACGGCAGACGGCAGGGGCAGGUGACUUUCUUUUCUUCUGCUGAAGCCCCAGGUCGUGGAGGAGCUUUGAAUCCUAGGUGCUGCAUCAGCUCACGUGGCACACGGUGUCGUGAGACGUGGCUCGGAGAGCUGGCCCAGGCCGGGACCGAGCCCCCACACGCGGGAGUGCUCAGUAGCCGUGUGUGACGGGGACGUUUGCUCUGGCCUGUGCAAAUCAAGGCCGUCCUAACACGGGAGGCACUGGCGCUGGCAGGGCUUGGCACCAGAAAAGCAGGUGACAUUUCAUCAAUCCUUCGUCCUAGUGACACACCGAAAUGAUAAUAUUUUGGAUAUAGAGUCAAUAAGAUAUUUCUAAUUUGAUAUUAAAGGUAAUUUUACCUAUUUUUCUGUUUUCUGAAUGUGUCUACUAAAUUUGGAAUGAGACACGAGGCUCGAGGACGCCUUUGGACCCCUCUGAGUCGCGUGGUGGGGUAGGCCAGAACGCCAGCAGGAGGCAGUGCGGCAAAGUCCCGAUGGGCAGGAGCCGCGCCGUACUCACAUCUUCGGUGAAGGCAGAGCUGGUGAGGCACAGCACACCACCCAGAAGGCAGAUCUCCUGUCUCAAGGCCAGCGUGCGCCCAUGACCCUGUUAAGGACAGGAGCGAGUGGCCCGGCGGCCUGUGCACCCAGUCCCUGCCCUCCCGGUGCCUGGUGCCUGGUGGCCUCCCGGCAGCUGCAGGUGGUGUGGGGCCAUGGCUCCCUGUUAGGCACGUUCUCUUGUGGCCUUCCUUCCCUGGUUGCCGUGUGGUCGGCUCAAAGCUCGGUCUGUGGGACACUGAGUCCUGCCACUCUGGACUUCUGCGUCCCUCAGAGUUGGGCCUGUUGCCCGGGUCCCCCGCCCGGCAGGUUUGAUGUCAGCUCCUGAGAAGCUCGUAUUCAUUGUUUAUUGUUUUAUUUUGCACUAGGCACAGUUGUUGAAAUGAUCUCAGACAUUUGGCGAGCACAUUUGCCUGUGAUGGAAAGAGAGAUGUAUGAUGUAUUGCUUCGGUUUUAAAUUAAAAGCUAUUCUCAUAA